rnacentral:hammerhead_ribozyme from 1 species
GCACUGCUGAGGAGUCCCAUAAUAAGACGAAAUGGCUAUCCAGUGC